AAAAGAAGGGAACGGUUGCUGCUGAUGUAGUUCAAGUUUUGCACAAUUUAUAUCACAGUGGCUGUUCUUUUUUGUU
rfam:Drosophila pseudoobscura pseudoobscura strain MV2-25 chromosome 3, whole genome shotgun sequence.